GUUAUAGUUUACUGAAGGUCAAGUGAAAUACAUGAAAGCAAAGCCAGAACUGAGGUUCGUGCGCCAAAGGUAUAGUUUACUGAAAGUCAAGUAAAAUACAGUAAAACAAAGGCAGAACUGAGGUUCGCGCGCCAAAGGUAUAGUUUACUGAAGGUCAAGUAAAAUACAGUAAAGCAAAGCCAGAACUCACGUUCCUGCACCAAAGGUAUAGUUUACUGAAGGUCAAGGAAAAUACAAUAAAGCAAAGCCAGAACUGAGGUUCGCGUGCCAAAGGUAUAGUUUAACAGUAAAGCAAAGUCAGAACUGAGGUUCGUGUGCCAAAGGUAUAGUUUAGUGAAGGUCAAGUGAAAUAUAGUAAAGCAAAGUCAGAACUGAGGUUCGUGAGCCAAAGGUAUAGUUUAGUGAAGGUCAAUUGAAAUACAAUAAAGCAAAGCC